GACGAACGCUGGCGGCGUGCUUAACACAUGCAAGUCGAACGGUGAAAGCGGAGCUUGCUCCGCUGGAUCAGUGGCGAACGGGUGAGUAACACGUGGGCAACCUGCCCCUCACUUCGGGAUAACUCCGGGAAACCGGGGCUAAUACCGGAUAUGACCUCCUUGGGCAUCCUUGGAGGUGGAAAGUUUUUCGGUGAGGGAUGGGCCCGCGGCCUAUCAGCUUGUUAGUGAGGUAGUGGCUCACCAAGGCGACGACGGGUAGCCGGCCUGAGAGGGCGACCGGCCACACGGGGACUGAGACACGGCCCAGACUCCUACGGGAGGCAGCAGUGGGGAAUAUUGCGCAAUGGGCGAAAGCCUGACGCAGCAACGCCGCGUGCGGGAUGACGGCCUUCGGGUUGUAAACCGCUUUCAGCAGGGAAGAAGCCGCAAGGUGACGGUACCUGCAGAAGAAGCACCGGCUAACUACGUGCCAGCCGCCGCUGUAA
rnacentral:rRNA from 1 species